CUAAAUUACGGGCCACAUAAAACCCAAUUACGAUUGUAAUUAAACUAACUUAUUUUUAUCACCGUCAAGAACACAACCAAAUGCUCUAGCACACCUCACUCCCUCGGUUAUAUGGUGCAAGAAGAGAAGGUGGCGGUUCGCUCGAAGGACACGAUGGCCUAGUUCAUGCCACGCGUAGGACAUGUGAUAUAACCUCGUCGGUGGAUGGUCUACUAGUUGACACUUGUUCCCUCCCCGAGUUUUUUUUUCUCUUUCGAGAUGAAAGUUAACAAAAAUUACAAGACGCGGUAUUUUCGAUGCAGCAGUGGAUAUAGAUUAUCAUAAAUUAUUACAGCGAGAUUAUCUUUUUAUUUUUUUAAUAAAAAUAUUAAAUUUUAGUUUUCGGGUAGAGUAGUCUUUUAACAGGGACUUGUAAGUCGUUGUUGAUUUUAAAGGGAUAAAAUAUCCUUCACAUAAAACCAUAAAAAAGUUAUUAGCAUAGAAUGGAAGGGGUUUCUUUAUCAUUUUUUUUCAAGCUCGGUGUAAUUACUCUAAUGCUAUUGAAACCAAAAUUUUUAAAAUUA